UACGAAGGGGGCGAGCGUUGUUCGGAUUUACUGGGCGUAAAGGGCGCGCAGGCGGUUCUGUUUGUCGAGUGUGAAAGCCCCGGGCUCAACCUGGGAACUGCGCUCGAAACGGCGGAACUAGAGUUCGGGAGAGGAGAGUGGAAUUCCCAGUGUAGAGGUGAAAUUCGUAGAUAUUGGGAAGAACACCAGUGGCGAAGGCGGCUCACUGGCCCGAUACUGACGCUGAGGUGCGAAAGCGUGGGGAGCAAACAGG
rnacentral:rRNA from 1 species